rnacentral:rRNA from 1 species
UACGUAGGGUGCGAGCGUUAAUCGGAAUUACUGGGCGUAAAGCGUGCGCAGGCGGUUUUGUAAGCCAGAUGUGAAAUCCCCGGGCUUAACCUGGGAAUGGCAUUUGGGACUGCAAGGCUCGAGUGCGGCAGAGGAGACUGGAAUUCCUGGUGUAGCAGUGAAAUGCGUAGAUAUCAGGAGGAAUACCUAUGGCGAAAGCAGGUAUCUGGGCCAUCACUGACGCUGAGCUGCGAAAGCUAGGGGAGCAAACAGG